GGCUAAUCGCUCUCACCUCUCACCCAGGCAAAUGAAUUUUCUCUAUUUGAUGCUACUUGACAUCAACAAGAGAGUCUUUCUAACUGUUUAAAUGAAUAUCAGGUAAACAGAGCUAUCACUUAAAGAGCAGUAAAAAUCAUAAUUAUCGCACAAGUAUAACUAUAAGAAAAGUGGACUUGCAUGAAGCCAUGACUGCACUUU
rnacentral:misc_RNA from 1 species